AGAAAAGCAGGGGAUCGCAAGACCUUGCGCUCUUGGAGCGGCCGAUGUCUGAUUAGCUAGUUGGUGAGGUAAAGGCUUACCAAGGCGACGAUCAGUAGCUGGUCUGAGAGGACGACCAGCCACACUGGGACUGAGACACGGCCCAGACUCCUACGGGAGGCAGCAGUGGGGAAUUUUGGACAAUGGGGGAAACCCUGAUCCAGCCAUGCCGCGUGAGUGAAGAAGGCCUUCGGGUUGUAAAGCUCUUUCAGCCGGAACGAAACGGUCACGGCUAAUACCUGUGACCACUGACGGUACCGGAAGAAGAAGCACCGGCUAACUACGUGCCAGCAGCCGCGGUAAUACGUAGGGUGCAAGCGUUAAUCGGAAUUACUGGGCGUAAAGCGUGCGCAGGCGGUUUUGUAAGUCAGAUGUGAAAUCCCCGGGCUUAACCUGGGAACUGCGUUUGAAACUACAAAGCU
rnacentral:rRNA from 1 species